AAUUUCAAAUCUGCACUGUGAUGUCAUACAAAUCAUAUAAAUCAUUGAGAAACUGUGUUGAUCUUUUUCUCCACAUCUGUUGUAGUGCUCAAAUAUAUUCUUGAAAAAAGAUCAAGAUAUACGUUAAUUGUUUCUUUUGACUUCACAUGUCAUUUGGAACAGUCAAUCACUAUGUGCAGGACUUAUUUUUACCCCCAUCAAGCAAUCAAUCCAGAAUUUCUUUCCAGUCAAAACUUGUUUAGAAAUGGGGAGUUUGCUGAGAGGAAGGACAAUGGGAAGAUGGCUGGAGGAUCAAAAGGAGAGGAAAAAGCAGGAAAUUACGACUCAUAAUGCUCAGUUGCAUGCUGCAGUAUCCGUGGCAGGCAUAGCUGCUGCUGUUGUGGCCAUUGCAGCUUCAAUAGAGUGUACAUUGUAGAAUCAAUAGAGUGUACAUAGUAGCCAUAAGAAAGUGUACAUAGCUGCCAUAAAGUUCUACACUUACCAUAUGAGUGGUCUCUAGCUUAGCUUGCAUUGUUCAAGAAAUUUUAGAAAAUUCUAAGGAUGCUACUCUACUAAUUUUUGUGAGACAUGGAUGUAAUUUUCACUCCAUAUGGAUGUAUAACUGUAUAUUAUUGAAUAAGUAGAGUUAUAUGCAAAGAAAUAUUAUAUAGAUAAUCUAUUUUU